GUCAAACAAAGCUGGUGACCCACCCAUCACACCUGGAAGAUGACUCUCAGGUUCUGAAUUUGGAGGACACCCCUCUAUCCUGGUAUAAUGGAAGGGGAGUUAGCAGUAUGUAUGACCUUGGGCAAGCCACUUCACUCACCUCCCUAGUCCUCAGCUUCCCAUCCAUAAGAUAGAACUUGACCAUUUCUAAAAUCCUGAUUCCUGGUUGUGCAUUUUAACAGCAUCUUUGGGAUCAACAGAAAGCCAAACUAUGUAAAAGGAGACUUGCAGAUCCCGGGAUAUCGUGCUUCCUUCUGGGCUGGGAAGUUUCAAAAAGAGACCUAGGAGCCAGGAGAAUGGAGGAUAGAGGCUGAGCAGGCCAACCUAGGAAGAGGUGGGAGAGACUCUGGGAGAAAUUUGGCUGGAUUUCUAGAUUCGCCUCCUUCCCCAUCCCUAAUCCCCACUCUCACAUGCAGCGUUCUUUAACUCCCUGCAAAGGCCCUUUAGGAGCAUCCUUCCAGCAUGGCCAGUCCAACCUCCUAACAGAAGUGCUUCAACAGUGUUUGCUGAGCCCUGAGUCCUCCCUGUCACCAAAGCCAGGGGACCGAAACUCACUCCUGGCUCCCGCUCCAUGGGAGGGCACGAGGAAUUCCCUGGAGGCUUGUCUUUGCACCCUGGGAGAGCUGGGAGCCAGGGAGGGAGUCCGAUGGAGGGGCCCAGGAGAGAGCUGUGUCUGUGACAAUACGCUCCAAGGCACCUUCUACCCUCCUGACAUCAUGGCCAAGCUCCCACCCAGCCUCCCACCAGUCUUGGAGGUGGGAACGGGGGAGACAGGGAGAGAAGUAGGAGAGGGAGUGAAUGGAGCUGCAGAAAGUAAAAGGGGGUAGGAAGGAGGUGUGGGCCUCAGUGUACAAUGCCCCACAGAUGCCUUUGUCUCCCAACUGGUUUCCUUAGUGUGCCCCUGGAGCCUGGCCAGCCUUGGAAACAUUUCUGUGCUGGUUGGUAGGGAGUAGGCGCCUGAAGAGAAAGCUCUAUGAUUUCUCCUGAGAGGCCUCACUUUCACCUGGGAACCUUGAGGGCGGCUGGAACAGGAAUGGCUGAGGAGCCGGUUUCAGGUUCUCAACGAAUGGAAAGUGGUUUGGGGCUUUUCUCAGAAUUUCCAAGAUGUUCUCACAUAAAACAAAGGCUCCAAAGUAACAAAGACAAUUCAGAGCUGGGGAGUGGGGGUGGGAGAGGGCCGUGUCCUCUGACUCAGGUACAGUGAGACAAAGAACACAGGCCGGCUAGCUGGGUGACUUUGGGCAAGUUACUCAGCCUCUCUGGAUCUCAGGUUUCUUUAUCUGACAAAUGGGGAUGAUCAUUCCUCACAGCAUUGCUGCAAGAAUUCAGCAAUGACAGGUGCGAUAGCAUAUCUGAAACCAUCUGGCAUAUUGCUCCUGGCACAUUGUAGGUGCUCAAUAAAAUGUUCUUUUUAUCCUGAUGUUGUUACUAUUUUCUCCUGUUUGUACUUAUCUGUCCAAUCCUCCAUCCAUGUAAAGUACCUAUCUAUCUAUCUAUCAUCUGUAUUUGUCAUUAAUCUAUCAUCUCUAUCUCUAUCAUUAAUCCAUCGUCUAUUAUCUAUCAUCUAUCUACCUACCUACCCAUCUAUCCUGUAUUUAAUCUUCCCAGUCAGAUGGUUAGUGCUUUCGCUGCAUGUGUUUAUAUUGUAUUCUGUGUAAGCAUUCAGUAGAUAUGUUAAUAGACUGAUUUUACUGUGGGUCAGGGCAAGCCCGACCUCAAGUUAAUAAAGUAGGUAGGAUAAGGCAUCUUAUCUACAACCUUCAAACAGUGCUUCAAUCCAGUGCCAACUUUUUCUUUGAUUUCUUUCAGAUCAAUUAAAGAAAUGCCCACAGUGAGGAGUUUCAGGGAAGGCGGGCUCUUCUCCAGUGGUCCUGGACAGCCUUGCUCCUUGGCUCCAGAACCCCCAGGGCUUCUGCACCAUCCCGACCACCUAAUUUCCACGCGUGACCUCUAGUCUCAGGAUGCCUGAGAUGAGGAAGCUGUGCCCACAGUCAUACAGCUGCUUGGAAGUAGAGCGAGUGUGGACUGGAACCCAGGUCUUAGGAUUCCAAGUCAGCUGCUUACCUCACAUGUUCAUUUACUACUGGUGAGGAGUACAGAGGAACAGAGGUCAAGUGACACAGGGGACAGAGACAGCCUUUGGAGCUUCCCUAGCCUGGGAGGCCAUGGUGGGACACAGCCACCCAGCACCUGAGCUUCCCAGAAAAUGCUUUCUUUCAGACUGGAUACCCCGGGGACCUGCAAUCCCAGCUGGAAACUCUAGGUAACCUUGACCCCCUAAUUCUCCCUCCCUCCCAUCAAUAUCUGAUGCACCGCCACCCCAGACACCUUCUCAUUCAUUUCAUCUGCCAGUGCCUGACUCAGCAUCUCCUCAUCUCGGAGACCUGGGCCUCCAAAAAGAGGAGAUGUGCCAGGCCCUGUGCAAGGUGAGGAUCUGGGGUGUGGGAAGAAAAUAUGAGAACUUCUAUGGCUUCGAACAAUAGGAAAGAUGUUGCACUUUCCUAGUAUUUGCUACGUGGAUGGAUACUGGCCGCUCACUGCUCUGUUGGUGAGACCGUCCAAGGUCACAUAUGGAGGUCACGUACGGACAGGCCGGGCCACAUUAGCCUGAGGAUGGAGCAGGGGCUUUAAACAGAGAGGGCUUCCCCCCACUCCUUUGCUUUCAGUGUAACUUGACCUUCUGCAGUGCAUGUGAGCCAGGUUAAAUGGAUUUAUGAUUUGUUUUCACUACAUUAACCAUAAAGAAAUGGACACAUGGCUUAAAAAUGAGCCCUGCAAAAAGAAACCACUGGGAAAAGAUAGCACUAAUAACGGGAACAGAAACAAACAAGAAAAUGGUAGUGUUGACCCUUCACCUAUCUCAAGCCUAACCUAUAUAAACAUCUUUCAAAUGAAGAGUUUUAGUGGUUUUCAAAGCUUUUAGUUAAAACCAUAAAAAAUGUAAUUGACGAGCUUGUAAGAAUAAUUGACUGACAUCAGAGAAGAUGGAAAGUUACCAGCUGCAUUUAAACAAAAGCCUUUGUACAAUUGGUAAGACUGAAAAAUUAAUAUUUUAGUAAGCACAGCCAAUGUAGCUCUUUUUCCGUUUGGAUCUGUGCACCUAGUGAGGUCUUUUUUUUCCAAUUCUGAAAGCUAUUAGAACCAAGUAUCAAAAUAAUUUGAACUUAAACCCAGACCUUCUAAAUAUUGAACUGCAAAAUGUUAGUAUGAAGAUAACACAAACAUAAUAAAACGUAUCAACCACAUUGGAAUCACAACAAAUAUCAGUAUUCAUAAUAAUUCCUUUCAGCGAAAGUUUUUUUUUGUAUGGUUAAGGAAAACAAAAGCUUAAAAAGUAGUGUUAUUUCAUCUUUAUCUCAUCCAUUUAAAUGCCUCUUUUUGUCUGUGUCUUCCCAUGAUAUUGUGAUUUAUAAUAAGAAAUACAUAUUUGAUCUUCAUGCUUGUUCCGGGUACAAGGUUCCUAAAACCCUUGGAAUUUCCUAAGUGACAAGAGCGAUCAAGGUGUUUUUUGUUAUGUUAAUGAGGUAACUUUGGAAAGCCCCAGGGAGGGCAGAGGGGCUGGAGGUUGAAUCAGUCAUCAACGGCUAACGCUUUAAUCAAUCAUGCUUAAGUAAUAAAGCCUCCAUAAAACCCAAAAGGACGGGGUUCAGAGAGCUUCUGGGGUGGUGCACACACGGAGAGUGCAUGAAGCUCCGCGCCCUUUCCCCACACCUUGCCCUCUGCGUCUCUUCCAAAUCUGGCUGUUCCUGACUUAUAUCCCUUUAUAAUAAACUGGUAAUCUAGUAAGGAAAA